rnacentral:rRNA from 1 species
GAGUUUGAUCCUGGCUCAGAACGAACGCUGGCGGCAGGCCUAAUACAUGCAAGUCGAGCGCGCCCUUCGGGGUGAGCGGCGGACGGGUGAGUAACGCGUGGGAAUAUGCCCUUCUCUAAGGAAUAGCCUCUGGAAACGGAGAGUAAUACCUUAUACGCCCUUUGGGGGAAAGAUUUAUCGGAGAAGGAUUAGCCCGCGUUAGAUUAGGUAGUUGGUGGGGUAAUGGCCUACCAAGCCUACGAUCUAUAGCUGGUUUGAGAGGAUGAUCAGCCACAUUGGGACUGAGACACGGCCCAAACUCCUACGGGAGGCAGCAGUGGGGAAUCUUGCACAAUGGAGGAAACUCUGAUGCAGCGAUGCCGCGUGAGUGAAGAAGGCCUUUGGGUUGUAAAGCUCUUUCGUCGGGGAAGAAAAUGACUGUACCCGAAUAAGAAGGUCCGGCUAACUUCGUGCCAGCAACCGCGGUAAUACGAAGGGACCUAGCGUAGUUCGGAAUUACUGGGCUUAAAGAGUUCGUAGGUGGUUGAAAAAGUUGGUGGUGAAAUCCCAGAGCUUAACUCUGGAACUGCCAUCAAAACUUUUCAGCUAGAGUAUGAUAGAGGAAAGCAGAAUUUCUAGUGUAGAGGUGAAAUUCGUAGAUAUUAGAAAGAAUACCAAUUGCGAAAGGCAGCUUUCUGGAUCAUUACUGACACUGAGGAACGAAAGCAUGGGUAGCGAAGAGGAUUAGAUACCCUCGUAGUCCAUGCCGUAAACGAUGUGUGUUAGACGUUGGAAAUUUAUUUUCAGUGUCGCAGGGAAACCGAUAAACACACCGCCUGGGGAGUACGACCGCAAGGUUAAAACUCAAAUGAAUUGGCGGGGACCCGCACAAGUAGUGGAGCAUGUGGUUUAAUUCGAAGAUACGCGCAGAACCUUACCAACACUUGACAUGUUCGUCGCGACUCUAAGAGAUUAGAGUUUUCGGUUCGGCCGGACGAAACACAGGUGCUGCAUGGCUGUCGUCAGCUCGUGUCGUGAGAUGUUGGGUUAAGUCCCGCAACGAGCGCAACCCUCACUUUUAGUUGCCAUCAUUAAGUUGGGCACUCUGAAAGAACUGCCAGUGAUAAGCUGGAGGAAGGUGGGGAUGACGUCAAGUCCUCAUGGCCCUUACGUGUUGGGCUACACACGUGCUACAAUGGCAUCUACAACAGGAAGCAAAACGGCAACGUUAAGCAAAUCCCGAAAAGAUGCCUCAGUUCGGAUUGCACUCUGCAACUCGAGUGCAUGAAGCUGGAAUUACUAGUAAUCGUGGAUCAGCGUGCCACGGUGAAUGCGUUCCCGGGUCUUGUACACACCGCCCGUCACACCAUGGGAGUUGGUUCUACCUUAAGGCAAGGUUUUAAACCCUUGACCACGGUAUAGUCAGCGACUGGGGUGAAGUCGUAACAAGGUAACC